UCUUAACUUUAGGAAUCCAAUGGUUAAAAAGUUAUGAGCAUGUAAAGUUCGACACUUUUAGUGCAUUUGCUACGUUACUGUGACGCCAUAUUGGCUUCUUGUCCAAUGAACGGUGUCGCUAGCUGCAGCCAGAUGCAUGUGGGUACCGAUCACUUUAGCGGGUACAGUCAAACCGUAAAUUUGAUGCUAUCUGAGUUAGUUAGGUUUAUAUUUAUUUUACAAACAGACUGUAUUGCCCAUGUGAGAACCAAUCAGGUUAUACAUAUAAGGCAAUAUGGCGUCACAGUAACGUAGCAAAUCCGCUAAAAAAAACAAGCUUUACACGCUUAUAACUUUUUAACCAUUGGAUUCCUAAAGUUAAGACUAGCCUUUUUGGAUUCUACACAUCAUAAACUAUAGAUUAAAAGAAAAAAAGGUCCAAAAUUUUGGGUCCGGUAAAGUAAAGUUUUACAAAGAUUUUUGCGGUUGUACGUUCCUUUAAUACGAUCCUCGUGAUCAAUAUGCGAGAGCACGAACGCGUUGGGACCAUAGACAUAUGAAAAUAUUUGGUUGGGACCAGGCCCCCCAAACUCCACUCUUGUGAUUUUGAUGCAAAUUUUAGGUUUACUCCUCACUACCAGGAGGCGCUGAUGUCACCUCUCUACAUGCAUAGCUUUUAUCACUGAUUUUGACACGCAACUAAAGAUAUCGGGACAUGAUGUUCCCGCGAAGUUUGUAGCCGCGUUUUUCAAUUGCUUCAAAAUUUAAAGAGACAAAAGAAAUAUGGCGCACAUGGUAGCACAUGGUGCUGGCGUAGGUGACUGAAUUUCCAGGUUUUUCAAUAACUUCUGCUGAUGAGAUGCAGCAACAGGAGGAGAAGAUACAAAUUAAAAGGAGGCUAUUAAAAUUAGAAAGAGGAAGAAAAUAUGCAUCAUCAGAGGGUGUAUUAACGAAAACAGCAGGAUGUUCCUAGAGAAAGGAUAAGAAGAGGAUGGCACAGUGGGUGCAAGUAUGUGACAACCAAAGUCAGUGCUUCCAUCUGAAAACUGAAAUUCCGGGGGAUCUGUAGUAGCUACUUUAAAGAAAUAUACGUCAUGAGGAAAACAUUAACAACAUCAGCAGUUCCAAAACUGAACUUACUUGUGUCAGAAGCUACCUCUAUUAAAAUAGAGCAAUAAGAC